CACCUGAUGAUGCAGAUUAUGAUGUUCUGGAUUACGUUGUGGGAUGGGUUUUGGAGGAUGGGGCUGUCAAAAUUGUGAAUAGGCCUGGCCCAUCAGGUCUGGCCUGAACAGUUCAAAAUCCGAGCUGAAGCCAACCCUGGCCUCGCCCGGCCUGUUGACAGCCCUACUUGGAGAUGGUGAUGGGAACUUCGGCAGGAAACUUGAGGUCAAAGAUGGCUCAAACUGUAUUGCAUGUCGUGAUUCAAGUGAAGCAGAGUGGGGGAGGUAGAGGUGGUUAUGGUGGUGUUGGUGGGGACAGGCGCAGAGACAAUUACAGGGAUGGUGGAGGUUCUGGCCUUGACAGGCAUCACCACGGGGGGCAAAGGUCACAUCCAUACUGAAGAAUCCAUGUUGAAGAGUUGCAGUGACAAGUAUUUCAUGUUAACUAAGAGUGUCAAAAGAGGGAAUUCUCUCAAUUGGUAUUCGCAAGGUUGUACCGGAACCAGAGACUUAAAAGGUAGGUUAUGUGCUCUUCCGAGCAAGAACACCCCCCAUUCGUCUCCUUUGUUUUGCUCUUUUCUUCUACAAGUUGGAGGGUUUUGAUAGAUUGGCUUGAGAAAUUAAUUUCAACUAUGUGAAUGUUUUUAUAAA